AACGCACAUUGCGCCUUUUGGUAUUCCGAGAGGCACGCCUGUCUGAGCGUCAGCAAAAACCUUCGGCCUAGCGAUUUAUUGCGAAAGCCGGUUUUGGCGGCGGGCGCCCCAAACCUACGGACCGUAAAACAGUCCGCGGGCAGGAGGGCCCCACGUCUAAACCAGAAAGCGAGUUGUGUAUGAUGUAUACCCGGGCGAUAGUAGGAAUACGGUCGUUGUCGGUGGGAACGGAACAACUGCUAUAAAACCAUUUUCAGAUUUUUUGACCUCAGAUCAGACGAGGAUACCCGCUGAACUUAA
rnacentral:rRNA from 1 species